CACAUACUCCCUCCGUUUGGAAUUACUUGUCAUACAAAUGGAUGUAUCUAGACGUAUUUUAAUUCUAGAUACAUCCAUUUUCAAGACAAGUAAUUCCGAACGGAGAGAGUACAAC
rnacentral:pre_miRNA from 1 species